UAAACUUCUAAUUACAAGACAAAAGAGAAAACUCCUAUGGCUACAAUAAUAAGCAAAGUGACAUGUGUAUUAAUAACCAUAUUGAUGAUUAUUGGAACGUUUAUUUGUUCUGCACAUUCUAAAUUCUAUGACAUUACUUCUAAUAAAGUCCCUUCUCUUCCACACACAAAAAAUAUUCCUGAAGUCCCUUUGCCUCCACAUUAUUAUGACGACGAACUUAGGGAGUGUGUAGAAGAUUGUGAAUUUUUGUAUAAGAAUAAAGAAGUUACUUUGUGUACAUGCAUUGCAAUGUGUAUAACUCUCUACCCACCCACAAGACAUUAGUAUCUCGAAGAGAAAGUCACAAUGAUCAGAGUAGAAGAAGCAUGCUGGAAUAAAAGAGUCAGCGGUGCUAGGGACAGUACAUUUUGUAAUUGAAGAGUGACGAGAGUUAGCAAGUUUUUUGAUUUGUAACUAUUAAUUAACUGUCAUUAAUAUUUUUAAUGGUGUGAGAUUUUAUCUAA